CCUACGGGAGGCAGCAGUGAGGAAUAUUGGUCAAUGGCCGUAAGGCUGAACCAGCCAAGUCGCGUGAAGGAAGAAGGAUCUAUGGUUUGUAAACUUCUUUUAUAGGGGAAUAAAGGUAUCCACGUGUGUAUAUUUGCAUUUACCCUAUGAAUAAGCAUCGGCUAACUCCGUGCCAUCAGCCGCGGUAAUACGGAGGAUGCGAGCGUUAUCCGGAUUGGUUGUGUUUAAAGGGUGCGUAGGUUGUGUUUUAAGUCAGCGGUGAAAGUUUGUGGCUCAACCAUAAAAUUGCCGUUGAAACUGGAAGACUUGAGUGUGUUAGAGGUAGGCGGAAUGCGAGGUGUAGCGGUGAAAUGCAUAGAUAUAACGCAGAACUCCGAUUGCGAAGGCAGCUUACUAAGCCAUAACUGACACUGAAGCACGAAAGCGUGGGGAGCAAACAGGAUUAGAUACCCUGGUAGUC
rnacentral:rRNA from 1 species